CCAUUUCAAAGCUGGGCAGUAGU
rnacentral:piRNA from 1 species